GACAUAGGUUGCGAACGUUAUCCGGAAUUAUUGGGCGUAAAGGAUGCGUAGAUGGUUUGAUAAGUUAUCAGUGGCAAAUCGGGGCUCAACCUCGUGGAAGCUGGUAAUACUGUUAUACUCGAGUGCAGGAGAAGUUAACGGAACUCUAUAUGGAGCGGUAAAAUGUGACGAUAUAUAGAAGAACACCAAUAAGGCGAAGGCAGUUAACUAGUCUGUUACUGACAGUGAGGCAUGAAAGCGUGGGGAGCAAAACGG
rnacentral:rRNA from 1 species